rnacentral:rRNA from 1 species
GAUGAACGCUGGCGGCGUGCCUAAUACAUGCAAGUCGAGCGAACAGACGAGGAGCUUGCUCCUCUGACGUUAGCGGCGGACGGGUGAGUAACACGUGGAUAACCUACCUAUAAGACUGGGAUAACUUCGGGAAACCGGAGCUAAUACCGUAUAAUAUAUUGAACCGCAUGGUUCAAUAGUGAAAGACGGUUUUGCUGUCACUUAUAGAUGGAUCCGCGCCGCAUUAGCUAGUUGGUAAGGUAACGGCUUACCAAGGCGACGAUGCGUAGCCGACCUGAGAGGGUGAUCGGCCACACUGGAACUGAGACACGGUCCAGACUCCUACGGGAGGCAGCAGUAGGGAAUCUUCCGCAAUGGGCGAAAGCCUGACGGAGCAACGCCGCGUGAGUGAUGAAGGUCUUCGGAUCGUAAAACUCUGUUAUUAGGGAAGAACAAAUGUGUAAGUAACUAUGCACGUCUUGACGGUACCUAAUCAGAAAGCCACGGCUAACUACGUG